AAGGGGUUGACAACCCUUGACAUAAGACAAACUCUUAGUGCAAUGAUUAAGGGGUGUCAAAAAUUACAGAAGGUUGCAAGUUUCAUUCCCCAUAGUAGCAAUUUUUUUUGACACCCCUUUGUAUAAUUUCUGGCUCCGCCACUGCUACUUCUCUUUCGACAAACCAUAAAACCAGAACCAAAAGAGAUGGCCUCCUUCACAUAUUCAUUUGGCAGUCACUUCAUAAAUCGUGAAUCUGAUUUUAGUGGUCAAUGAAGUGAGACGAGAACCAUAAGGUCUCAAAUUCAAAUCUUAUCGAAAUCGCAUUCCGACCCCGAUAUCGCAUAAGUCAAUUAUGGGUCAAGCUUCUUCAUAUUUCCAACUUCAACUUUUUUCCAAUUUCCGCUAAAAUGGCUCAAAUUCUACGGACCACCAAAUCUGAAUCCAGACGCGCGCCUAAGUCCAAAAUCACCAUAAGAAGUUGUUGAGAUUAUCCGCAACCCAUUCCGGGUCCGUUUACCCAAAGUCCAAUUCCAAUCAGCUUUUCACCGUUCAAACUUCCAUAACUAAAUUCCUUCUUCCAAUUUGACUCUAAACCAUCCAUAAACUGAAUUCCACCAUGCACGCAAGUCGAUACUCAUAUUCUGAAGCUGUUCGAGACCUUACGCCGUUAAACGAAGCUUAAUUUCUCAAAACGACCGAUCGGGUCGUUACAUCCUCCCCCUCUUAAAACCAAUAUUCGUCCUUAAACGUGCUAAGAUUCGCCUUGAAAUCCUCAAGCAACUGAGUACACACUUCCAACAUACACCCGCGGGUGAUCCCACGUCACCCCAAUCCACAUAAGCAUGGCGACAACAUCUCAACUGAAAUUUAGCCUUUCUAGCAAUAUCAAAAAACCUUCAAGCCAGAAUUCUCACAGACUCAAACUAUAUUUGGAAAAUGCUAUCAAAUAAAAAGUAGGACAAGUCCUUGCUACUUGUAACACUGGAAAAGGUCAACUUUAAAAGUAUGGAGCAGUCAAAUAUAGAACACACAUAGAUUUAUCUCCAUAACACACUAUAAGAGAAUCAAUAUCUAACAGCAUCGCAAGUAGUGUGACAUAAGUCAUAUCCUAUAGUAUUCAAUUCCAUGCACAUCAUACAACAACAACUCAAUAUAAUCCCACUUAGUGGGGUUUGGGAAGGGUAGUGUGUACGCAGACCUUACCCCUACCCUGGGGUAGAGAGGCUGUUUUUAAAAUAUCUUUAAUCUUUAGCCACUGCUUUAAUAACUUUAACUUCCCGGACGAAACUACAAUUCUGCUCAUGUCCUUAACUUUUGAACUUAACUUCAGCACUUCAGAAAAACAUGUCAUUGAUUUUGAACUUGUAACUCUAAGUUUAGGACUUCAGAACUGCAUUUCCUUAACUUUUGAACUUGUAACUGUAAGUUCAUGACCAAGUGUCCUUAACUUUUGAGCUUGUUAGUCUAAGUCAACAACAACAACCCAGUAUAAUCCCACUUAGUGGGGUCUGGGAAGCGUAGUGUGUACGCAGACCUUACCCCUAUCCUUGGGUAGAGAGGCUGUUUCCAAAUAGACCCCCGUCAUCCUUCUCUCCAAGAAUUUCCCACCUUGCUCUUGGGAAAACUCGAACUCACAACCUCUCGAUUGGAAGUGGGGGUUGCUUACCAUCAGAGCAACCCCUCGGUUGGAGGUGGGGUUGCACAUCAUACUUUAGUGCAAAUCCUAGCUCCAAAAUAAGGCAGCCCCAUACUAGGGAAACAACAUAAAGACGGUUUCAUCAUUAGGGAUGUUGAAUUAUCAGAAGAAAAAAAUGCAAGGCUUUGAAAGUUGUUUGAAAAGACUUGAUUUCAUGAAGAACAUAAAUUAUUUAAGCUGAGUAAAAGACCUGACUCACAUGCUCUCCUUUUUGAACUUUUUACAAGUAUGACAGCAACAACAAUAACAACAAUUAUCCAAUAUAGUUCCAUAAAGUGGGGUCUGGGAGGGUAGAGCUGUUUCCAAUCGACUUAUUACAAGUAUGACCUUUUUUCUAAAUAUAUAAGAAAAGACAGAGUAGAAUGUUUGGGUGAAGUGAACAACGCUCAUAAGUGUAUAAAGUAGAGAUUAAAUAAAGAAAAAAUGCUCAUGUUCUACAAAUGAAAUACAUUGAAAAAUUUCUUAAAACUCAAUAUUUCAAAAGGAACAGAAUCCAUCUUCAAACUCAAAAUCCAAGUAAAUUCAACCUAAAAGAAGCCUUUUUAUACAAUUACUGAACUCAAGAUACCCAAUAUAAUAUCGAGCAUGCAAUCACAAUAACAACACCAAAAGGUCUAGAAUUUCAAAAAACGAAAAAAGAAAAAAACUUUCAGCUUACCUAAGAGAAAACUGAGAUAGGACCGUCAAGAUCGAGAAUUGAAAAAAUAUAGGAAUGAAACUUCAAAAACUUCGGACGGUUUGGAACAACGUACCCUCGUAAUGCUUUUCAAACUUCAUAUUUUCCUCAUUCCUUCUUUAGCUUCAGACCACUGUCGGUUCCUCUAGAUUGCAAAUGGGUCGGAAAAUUUGAGGUAAAAUUAGAGAAUACAUUUACCACAAAAAAAGGAAUUGAGAUUUGAACAUAUACUUGAUCGAAUCAAAAUUUGUAAUUAGGGUUUUUGAAUCUCUACCAUAUGGUUCAUAUUUUGUGAUUUGAGUAGAUAGAUUUGAGACAUUUGAGGUUUUCGACUGUAGAGAACAUUGAGAAUUUUACAGAGAAGAGGGAGCAAACAAGUGGUACUGCAGAAAGAAAUCGAGCAAAGAGACAUUUGAUAAGUUUGAGGUUUUUGAUUAAGAAAU
rnacentral:lncRNA from 1 species